rnacentral:rRNA from 1 species
AUUGAACGCUGGCGGCAGGCUUAACACAUGCAAGUCGAGCGGGGGAAGGUAGCUUGCUACCGGACCUAGCGGCGGACGGGUGAGUAAUGCUUAGGAAUCUGCCUAUUAGUGGGGGACAACAUCUCGAAAGGGAUGCUAAUACCGCAUACGUCCUACGGGAGAAAGCAGGGGAUCUUCGGACCUUGCGCUAAUAGAUGAGCCUAAGUCGGAUUAGCUAGUUGGUGAGGUAAAGGCCUACCAAGGCGACGAUCUGUAGCGGGUCUGAGAGGAUGAUCCGCCACACUGGGACUGAGACACGGCCCAGACUCCUACGGGAGGCAGCAGUGGGGAAUAUUGGACAAUGGGGGGAGCCCUGAUCCAGCCAUGCCGCGUGUGUGAAGAAGGCCUUAUGGUUGUAAAGCACUUUAAGCGAGGAGGAGGCUACUCUAGUUAAUACCUAGGGAUAGUGGACGUUACUCGCAGAAUAAGCACCGGCUAACUCUGUGCCAGCCGCCGCCGUAA